rnacentral:rRNA from 1 species
GCAUAUGCUUGUUUCAAAGGCUAAGCCAUGCACGUCUCAGUAGAAACUCUAUGAGUGAAACCGCGAAUGGCUCAUUAUAUCAGUUACAUUCUACUGGAGCUUGAAAUGAACUACAUGGAUAUCUGAGGUAAUUCUUGAGCUAAUACAUGCCGCGAACAGGCUGAACCGGGGGCAACCUUAGUUCAGUUUGAUGCUAUUAGUCUCGUAACCAACUGGCUUUAAUGCCACAAAGGUGAAACAGAAUAAGCCAUCUGAUCGCACGAACUAAGUUUCGGCGACGUAUCCUUCGAGUGCCUGCCUUAUCAACUAUCGAUGGUAGCUUACGCGGCUACCAUGGUGAUAACGGGUGACGGGGAAUCAGGGUUCGAUUCCGGAGAGGGAGCCUGAGAAACGGCUACCACAUCUAAGGAAGGCAGCAGGCACGCAAAUUACCCACUCCCAGCUUGGGGAGGUAGUGACGAAAAAUACCAAUCCGGGCCUCAUAUGAGGUCCCGGGAUUGGAAUGAGAACAGUACAAAAUCCUUAACGAGGAUCAACUGGAGGGCAAGUCUGGUGCCAGCAGCCGCGGUAAUUCCAGCUCCAGUAGCUUACGCUAAAGUUGCUGCAGUUAAAAAGCUCGUAGUUGGAUGUUGGCUAUAUGGGGGGAGGUUGGCUUCAAUGCGGAGCCAGCUGUAUCUCCUCGCCCACCAGGAAGAGACCUGUUAGUGUCCUUAAGUGGAUGCUAGCGUGAAGCUCUCCUCGGUUACUUUGACAAACUUAGAGUGCUUAAAGCGGGCUACAUUACGCUCGAAUAAACUGCAUAGAAUAACGAAAUACGUCGCAUAGGCGAUUCGUUGGUUCCACCUGUAUGCGAAAUGAUUAAAAGGAACAGGCGGGAGCAUUCGUAUUGCUGGGCUAGAGGUGAAAUUCUUGGACCCCAGCAAGACGAACAACAGCGAAAGCAUUUGCUAAGAAUGUUUUCAUUAACCAAGAACGAAAGUUAGAGGUUCGAAGGCGAUCAGAUACCGCCCUAGUUCUAACCAUAAACGAUGCCAACUAGUGAUCAGGCGUGGCCUUUUAAAAUUAACUUGGCCCGCCUGGGAGCUGAUCCGGGAAACCAAAGUUUUUGGGUUCUGGGGGAAGUAUGGUUGCAAAGCUGAAACUUAAAGGAAUUGACGGAAGGGCACCACCAGGAGUGGAGCCUGCGGCUUAAUUUGACUCAACACGGGGAAACUCACCAGGUCAGAACACUGGAAGGAUGGACAGAUUGAUAGCUCUUUCUUGAUUCAGUGGGUGGUGGUGCAUGGCCGUUCUUAGUUGGUGGAGUGAUUUGUCUGGUUGAUUCCGAUAACGAACGAGAUUCUUGCCAAGCAUUUUGGAUCGUAGGAGAACGGCCUUAUGGCUGAGUACCCUGCGCCAGUAAUGCCGGGACAGAGAUCAACUAAGAUCUAUGAGAAAGAGCGAUAACAGGUCUGUGAUGCCCUUAGAUGUUCUGGGCUGCACGCGCGCUACACUGAAAAGGGGAACGUGCGUGCGGAUCCGGGCAUUUCUGAGAGGAGGUGCGAACCAUUUGAAACCUUUUCGUGAUGGGGAUUGGGCUUUGUAAUUAUUGCCCAUGAACGAGGAAUUCCCAGUAAACGUAAUUCAUCAAAUUGCGUUGACUACGUCCCUGCCCUUUGUACACACCGCCCGUCGCUACUACCGAUUGAAUGAUUUGGUGAGGACUUUGGAGGUUGCUGGCCUUGGCGCAAGCCGGGUCGUGUAGCUGAAGCUGGCCAAACUUGAUUGUUUAGAGGAAGUAAAAGUCGUAA